AUAUUUGUUGAGCCGAAACUUUUCUAAGGUAAAGUGCGGGGGAUGUAAUUUGUGUACAUAGUACGCUUGGGGUGAAUCGCACCAAUAGGGCGUAGGGUUGUCUCCUCAAUCCGAAUCCGACAGCUAACUUCGCAGGCAUCACGACUUAAGGAGGA
rnacentral:sRNA from 1 species